GUGUUGUAUGAGUCUACAUUUUUUUUAGUUAUUCCAUAAUCUUGUUAAUCUCAGGGAGUAUUGUUAAUCCCAGCUCUAGACUGGUUCUGGGUGGAUGCGUGUGUGCAUGUGUAUGCCCCUCUCACUAAUAUGCCCAUCUCUGCUGGUAUCUUUACAGAUGGACUACUCUUCAAUGACCCUUUGGUACUCCUCUCAGUGUGUCACCAACCACAUGUACUUUUCUGAUGAUUACAUUAGCCUGAUCUCAAACAAAGGAGAUGGGAAAGAGCUGCAAACAAGGUGUGUAUAUAGUGGCUAUCCCUUCAAGCAGUGGUUAGUCUGCAAGGAAUCUGCCGUGGAACUGAAGAGGACUGACGUCACCCAUCAGUAUCUGUCCUUCGUGUAUGACCGAUGUCAACACACAGGGCUGCUGCUGUCACAUUCAGAGGUGUGGUCAUCCUCAGACCGGGGCUUUACCUUUAGGCAAAUCUUCUCCCUGCAAGGCGAGGUGGUGACUGAUGUGCUGAGCUGC
rnacentral:lncRNA from 1 species